UACGUAGGGGGCAAGCGUUGUCCGGAAUCAUUGGGCGUAAAGCGCGUGUAGGCGGCUAGGUAAGUCUGCUCUGAAAGCCCGGGGCUCAACCCCGGGAGGCGGGUGGAUACUGUCUAGCUUGAGUCCGGAAGAGGAGUGUGGAAUUCCUGGUGUAGCGGUGAAAUGCGCAGAUAUCAGGAGGAACACCAAUGGCGAAGGCAGCGCUCUGGGACGUGACUGACGCUGAGACGCGAAAGCGUGGGGAGCGAACAGG
rnacentral:rRNA from 1 species